AUUGAACGCUGGCGGCAGGCCUAACACAUGCAAGUCGAACGAGUGGCGGACGGGUGAGUAAUGUCUGGGAAACUGCCUGAUGGAGGGGGAUAACUACUGGAAACGGUAGCUAAUACCGCAUACCAUCAGCUGUGCCCAGAUGGGAUUAGCUAGUUGGUGGGGUAACGGCUUACCAAGGCGACGGUCCCUAGCUGGUCUGAGAGGCGGACGAUCCACACUGGACUUGAGACACGGUCCUGAAUCCUACGGGAGGCAGCAGUGGGGAAUAUUGCCCAAUGGGCGACAGCCUGAUGCAGCCAUGCCGGGUGUAUGAAGAAGGCCUUCGGGUUUUAAAGUACUUUCAGCGGGGAGGCGUUACCCGCAGAAGAAGCACCGGCUAACUCCGUGCCAGCAGCCGCGGUAAUAC
rnacentral:rRNA from 1 species